ACUCCUACGGGAGGCAGCAGUGGGGAAUAUUGCACAAUGGGCGCAAGCCUGAUGCAGCCAUGCCGCGUGUAUGAAGAAGGCCUUCGGGUUGUAAAGUACUUUCAGCAGUGAGGAAGGCGGGUACGUUAAUAGCGUGCUCGUUUGACGUUAGCUGCAGAAGAAGCACCGGCUAACUCCGUGCCAGCAGCCGCGGUAAUACGGAGGGUGCGAGCGUUAAUCGGAAUUACUGGGCGUAAAGCGCAUGCAGGUGGUUUGUUAAGUCAGAUGUGAAAGCCCGGGGCUCAACCUCGGAAUUGCAUUUGAAACUGGCAGACUAGAGUACUGUAGAGGGGGGUAGAAUUUCAGGUGUAGCGGUGAAAUGCGUAGAGAUCUGAAGGAAUACCGGUGGCGAAGGCGGCCCCCUGGACAGAUACUGACACUCAGAUGCGAAAAGCGUGGGGAGCAAACAGGAUUAGAUA
rnacentral:rRNA from 1 species